CCUACGGGUGGCAGCAGUGAGGAAUCUUCCACAAUGGGCGAAAGCCUGAUGGAGCAACGCCGCGUGAAGGAUGAAGGCCUUCGGGUUGUAAACUUCUUUUAUGAGUGAAGAAUAUGACGGUAACUCAUGAAUAAGCACCGGCUAACUACGUGCCAGCAGCCGCGGUCAUACGUAGGGUGCAAGCAUUAUCCGGAGUGACUGGGCGUAAAGAGUUGCGUAGGCGGUUUGUUAAGCGAAUAGUGAAACCUGGUGGCUCAACCAUACAGACUAUUAUUCGAACUGGCAAACUCGAGAAUGGUAGAGGUAACUGGAAUUUCUAGUGUAGGAGUGAAAUCCGUAGAUAUUAGAAAGAACACCAAUGGCGUAGGCAGGUUACUGGACCAUUUCUGACGCUAAGGCACGAAAGCGUGGGGAGCGAACCGGAUUAGAUACCCCAGUAGUC
rnacentral:rRNA from 1 species